ensembl:lncRNA
CUUUGUUCAUUUUAGACCAUUAUUUAGCUCUGAUUCUAAUUAUCUAAACACGUCUGAUCUGGUUCUGAAUAUUAGCAUCUGAACCUGUUAAAACAUGCCCACCCAACCCUGGAUCUGAAGAUCUAGCACACCCUGACACACCCCAGCUAUUCACAGCCUUUAGGAUAUUAGUAUUUAAUGAGUGCUUAGGUGAGUUGGAGAGGAGAUCAUUUGGUGGUAGAUGGUAGAUCUCAAAACCAAUCCAAUCCAUUUUUAAGGAACCUCACCCAUGUUGUCACAUACCGGGUGAUGAAAUUAAGUACCACAUUAAAGAUGGCGUAAUUGUGUAAAACUUAUUGGACUAAUCAACUGAUUUCCUCCACAGGCCGUGUGCUGCGAUGAUAAAGUGCACUGCUGUCCAGAAGACAGCGUUUGUGACGUAAACAACGCCAAGUGUAUGUCUUCCACCAAUCACGAACUUCCCAUGUGGGCCAAGUUUCCUGCUCGCCAGAGGGCUGCCUGGGAGGACCGCAAAUGUAAAGCCCCAUCCCAUAAUGCACCACAAAACAUUUUAAGAAAGUGUUGAGUCGUUCUGUUGCUCCCGAGUGGCGUAACAGAAAAGUUUUUAACCCCGUUGUCAGGAGAUUGUGAGUUUGAAAACUGACCAUGCCACAGCAAUCCCUUGUCCAGGAGCUAAGGCAGCGAAAUUGCCCAUGGGAGGGAUGAUGUGCUCUCUGUCCCCUGUCAAUCAAGGGUGUCUGUGAGGACCUGUGUGGUAGCUCCCUCCCAGGUUGGUAGCUGUCGUAUGAUAGGAGAGAGCUGUUGGGAGGGACUUGGCCAUUGACCAAAUUAGGGUGACAAUGUGGAAAAGGUCAUUUUGUAAACUUAUUCCUUCUUGCCCUUACUUAAUUUAUUGUCCUAAAUCUUGUCUCCAAAGAUGAAUGUCUGUCUCAGCAUCUUUUAUUUAGCAAUGGCAGUGUGGCUCAACUAGAUUCAUCCUGAAGGAAUUGGGAAAUACUGUUGUGAACAUUCUUAUCUGCUUCCUCUUUUUUUUUUUUUUUUGAUAUUGAAAGUAUCAUGCAUGAUUGUCUCAGCUACUUCCUCUUUUGGUCCCUGUGAAACAACUGUGGUCUGUCCAGAGGGAACCCAAUAAAGAGGAUCAAAUCGUUUUUUUCUGCACAGUGCUUGAACCCCUAAAUCGCUGUUUGCAGCUAUAUUUAAUAUUCUUAUGCUUUCAGUAAAAAUAAAUAAAUAAAAUGACGGGACAUUUUGAUCUUAAUAGAAUGGACCCAGAGACAGUCAAGUCAAGUGGUUUUAUUGUCAUUUCAACCAUAUACAGCUAGUAGAGUACAAAGUGAAACAAAACAACGUUCCUCCAGGACCAGUAGAUGGCCAUUAUUAAUCCAGCUGGCCAAAAAAUCCCCAUCAUUAUAUUCAAUCUACAGUAUGUUCAGUCCUGUACAGAUGUGUGCUAUCAUAACAGAAAUUCAGGACCGCUAUUAAUAGACCAUAUUAUCUGCACUGUUUUAAAGGUGAAGGAACAUAUAAUGCCUGUCACGUAUGUUAUUGUGUGUUUAGACUCUGAUGUUCCCUGUGACGACACUUCGGCUUGUCCUGAUGGAACCACAUGCUGUAAGGAUGAACAGGGAGCAUGGAGCUGCUGCCCUCUGCCUCAGGUAAAAUCCCUUUCAGGGGAACAUGACAAGUUUAUAACAGUUGUCUGAAUUGGGAGUGGGUUUAAAUACAACACAAGAUGGACGUUUUGGUUGUAGGUUGGGUCAGAUGAGUGUGGGUCGAUUUUGUAGAAAAUAUCAUUUAUGCCCUAAAGCAGUUAUUAUGAAGCAGAGACAGGAGAACUGUCACAAAUCGGGACGUGAGAUGGAUGCAAGUUCAGUUUUAAUUUAAAUAAAGACAAAAACCAAACAUGAAACAUAAGCUAUGACCUCGUGGCACAAAGUUCAGACACAAUCAUGACACAAUACACGUUAGACAUGAGAACAUAACGUACAAAGACAACGCAAGACAAAGAGUGCUGUACAAAACGUGACUUAUAUAUCCGGGGGAGCAACGCUCUCUGUGAGGUCAGAGGGGGGAGUGCUGUCCUCCACAAAGUAAGAAGGGGGAGCGACACAUGGCAUGAAGCAGACAGGAGGAGCAACGUCUUGAGAGGAGCAUGGCGGCAGAGUGACGUCCUCAGCCAAGCAAGGAAGCAUAGCGAUUUUCUCACUGCAGCGGAGUGACAUCCUCAGCGGAACAAGAUGGCAGA